AUACGUAGGGUGCAAGCGUUAAUCGGGAUUACUGGGCGUAAAGCGUGCGCAGGCGGUUUUGUAAGACAGAGGUGAAAUCCCCGGGCUCAACCUGGGAACUGCCUUUGUGACUGCAAGGCUAGAGUGCGGCAGAGGGGGAUGGAAUUCCGCGUGUAGCAGUGAAAUGCGUAGAUAUGCGGAGGAACACCGAUGGCGAAGGCAAUCCCCUGGGCCUGUACUGACGCUCAUGCACGAAAGCGUGGGGAGCAAACAGGAUUAGAUACCCUGGUAGUCCACGCCCUAAACGACGUCAACUGGUUGUUGGGUCUUCAUUGACUCAGUAACGAAGCUAACGCGUGAAGUUGACCGCCUGGGGAGUACGGCCGCAAGGUUGAAACUCAAAUGAAUUGGCGGGG
rnacentral:rRNA from 1 species